rnacentral:rRNA from 1 species
GGGGGUUACGCGGGGAAGUGAAACAUCUCAGUACCCGUAGGAGAAGAAAAUAAUAAUGAUUCUGCUAGUAGUGGCGAACGAACGUGGAUGAGGCUAAACCGUGUGCAUGUGAUACCUGGUAGGGGUUGUGUGUGCGGUGUUGUGGGCCCUGAUGAGGAUGGCUACUGACGUCCUGCCCGCGCAUUGUUGUUAGGUGAAGUGGUGUGGAAACGCCUGCCGUAGAAGGUGAUAGUCCUGUAGCUGAAGAUGAUGGUGUGUGGGUUGUUGGGUUGCCCGAGUAGCAGCGGGCUCGUGGAAUCUGCUGUGAAUCUGCCGGGACCACCCGGUAAGCCUAAAUACUCAGUGUGACCGAUAGUGGAUAGUACCGUGAGGGAAUGGUGAAAAGUACCCCGGGAGGGGAGUGAAAUAGUUCCUGAAACCAUGU